rnacentral:rRNA from 1 species
GACGAACCGUCCAAACGUUAUUCGGAAUCACUGGGCUUAAAGGGUGCGUAGGCGGCGCGGAAAGUUGGGUGUGAAAUCCCUCGGCUCAACCGAGGAACUGCGCCCAAAACUGCCGUGCUCGAGGGAGAUAGAGGUGAGCGGAACUUAGGGUGGAGCGGUGAAAUGCGUUGAUAUCCUAAGGAACACCGGUGGCGAAAGCGGCUCACUGGAUCUCUUCUGACGCUGAGGCACGAAAGCUAGGGUAGCGAAACGGGG